UACGGAGGGAGCUAGCGUUGUUCGGAAUUACUGGGCGUAAAGCGCACGUAGGCGGCUUUGUAAGUUAGAGGUGAAAGCCCGGGGCUCAACCCCGGAACUGCCUUUAAAACUGCAUCGCUUGAAUCCGGGAGAGGUGAGUGGAAUUCCGAGUGUAGAGGUGAAAUUCGUAGAUAUUCGGAAGAACACCAGGUGGCGAAGGCGGCUCACUGGCCCGGUACUGACGCUGAGGUGCGAAAGCGUGGGGAGCAAACAGG
rnacentral:rRNA from 1 species